AAUUCCAGCACAUAUCCUUGCCACCCAGCCCCCAGCCACGCCCACAAGAACCGAAGCAUUAUAUUUUAUUUAUUAUAUUGAAUUCAUGUCAUUGUGCUGCCACGACCAGUUCACCCGGGCCAAGUUAAGUUCGCCAUCCCAGCCAGGCAGCCAGUUUUGUGGAGCAGGAGCAGCUCCACUGCCACUGCCACUGGCACGUUCUCAGCGGGCUGAGAUGUGUGUUUGCGCCAUUAUUGUCAAGUCAGCAUAUAAAGCAUCCAGCAGCCAGCGAAGGGUGGCCCAAAUCUCAAAUACACACACAGGCACUGAGAAAAAAAAUGGCAAGCAAUAAGUUCAAGGAGUUCUAAAGGGUUUCCCUUAAUUUCAGCCAUUUUAGGAACAAUUAAAAACAUUUAUUCUGCCUUUAAAAUCUAUAUGUCAAGGAUAUGUCAAUGUCAAGGAUCAAUUUCCUGUUUUAAGUAAAAAGUUCCAAUCUGUUUGUAAAUGAAUUUAAUUGUUUUGAAAAUAGAUAAAAUAGUUGUUCCUUUUAUUUUCAAGUGCAUGCACACGUAGUUUGAACGGAAAUCGUUAUAUAAAUCAAAGACAGAUUAUAAAUGCUGCGCAAUUUUCGAGUUAUUUUUGCUAGAUGCGUCUGCGAGGGUUGUUCUGAUGACGCCUUUUUUUAGGGGUAACUGCAAAGGUUUGGGACAGUGAAGCCUGCGCUGAGUGACAGCUAGAUGUGGACAACUGUUGAGUGGAUGGAUACUAGACUGGGUGUUUUUGUCUGCUGGGGGAGUUGUUCAUUAGUGCGGAAGGGAGCGAUUGAAACGACACAAAAUGAGUGAAAAUGUCAGCUAAUUAUGUUUGCAUUUUGGCCAUAUAGAACUGCCGCUGAGCCGGAAGUGCCGGCAGGCUCAUUUCCGUUUGAAAUGUUUCCUGUCAUAAUUCGCCCUCGCUGGUUCUUUUUGUUUUUUUCCUGUCGCACAACCAUCGCUUUUUAUUUUCACAUCGAUUUUUGGCUGGAAGUGCUCCAAGAAUAAGUCAAAACUUUGAGGCAAUUUGCCUUUAAAGCUUUUUCGCCAAGGGUCCUUGGGUUUUCUUUUUUUUUUUGCCUUUUUGGGCGAGAAGAGGACGAAAUGCGCUUGUCAUGGCUUAUUUCACUUGAACUUUGGGUCAGCAAAGUUGGCGUGCUCAAGCUUUAUUUUUUUAAUUUGCUGCGGCAUUUUAUUCGCUAAACGUUUGUGUUUUUUUCAGUUUUAUUUUUUUUUUUUGUUGGCCCGGCCAUUAGACAGCCGCUCCUUUGUACACAAAAAAAAGCGAAGAAUGAAAUGCGAAAUGCAAAGGGAACGAGAAAGAGAACUUGCCGCAAUUAACUAACUGCCUAUGAUUGAUGACCUUUUAAAUGGGAGAGCGACAACUUCUCAUUAUUGCCAUUAUUAUAAUUCCCUUUUGAAUCCGUCAAAAGUAGGCCCAGUCCCCUAAUGGGUUGGCCAUAAGGCGAACUGGGUCAAAGGUCACCGCACUCGACUAAUUGCCGUCCAAUUGGACCACAUGUCGACUGAGUUGCCGCUUAUUGGAUUGGAUUCCCUCGGAUCGGAUUGGAUUGGUUUGCAUUGCCGGUUGGCUCUUAAUUGUCAAACGAAUGCAGGCGAAUGGAGUGCAAUGUUUUAAAUUAAUGCAUUAUUGGCCAUGUGCCAUCGAUUAUUUAUAUUGCAGUUACCCGGCAACAUUCAGUUCAUCCAUCAGUUUGUCAAUCAAUCAACUAACUGGCACAUGAAGUAUGCAAAAACUUUUAACAAACAACUUGAUCGAAUGUGAAAACUUUUCACAUAAUUUCUCAGUCGAACAGGAAAUAUUCUAUACACAUUUUUGUCACAUUUCCUAAUUGGAAUUGACGUGGAAAUCGAGUGGAAAAUCAAAACCUACCAAGAGUAUAUCAAGUGUAUCAAGGACAAUUUAUUUACUCGAAAGUCACAAUAAAAGUGUUUGAUGAUAUUUGAAGCUAUCCUGUUUUCAAUCCUGAUGAUUCGGUUUGAAUACUAUUAUUUGUAGCUUCAGAAUACUUGAUUAUUUGUUAUAUUCCAGAAUCACUACACUUUUCCGAACCGAAGCGCUUGAAAUGCAAUUUGUGAAUGAACUACAAUUUGUGUGAGGCGGCAGAUAACGUAGAUUUUCUAAUCGUUGGUUUUUCAAAAUCUCGUUGAGAUGGAACCCUUUGGCCAAAGGGUCAAAAAACAAUGACGUCACUCAGCGCGCAAAUCAAUGAUUUUCGCCAAAUGAGAAAGUAAAAUCGUGGGAAUUAAGUAGAAUAAAGAGCAGAGCUCCCUUUUUCUUGGGGAUAAAAGGUAAUCGAAAUAUGAUGACUCUCCUGUCAC
rnacentral:sRNA from 1 species